UACGUAGGGUGCGAGCGUUAAUCGGAAUUACUGGGCGUAAAGCGUGCGCAGGCGGCUUUGCAAGACAGAUGUGAAAUCCCCGGGCUUAACCUGGGAACUGCAUUUGUGACUGCAUGGCUGGAGUGCGGCAGAGGGGGGUGGAAUUCCGCGUGUAGCAGUGAAAUGCGUAGAGAUGCGGAGGAACACCGAUGGCGAAGGCAGCCCCCUGGGCUAACACUGACGCUCAGGCACGAAAGCGUGGGGAGCAAAACGG
rnacentral:rRNA from 1 species